rnacentral:lncRNA from 10 species
UAGGAGAAACAAAAACAAGGGAAGACGCAUGCUGCUUGGGGGAGCACACAGGCUGCGCCCCAGAGAUGGACAGAAGGUUAGUUUUACUUUAAAGGGUGGCUCAGAUUUAAAAUGAGCAUGUCUUUUCAUCUUGAUGGCAAUAUCGAUGCACAAUCCCUCUGCUGGAUGUUUCUGGACUCGUAGAUAACGGUGAAGACGAAAAAUUAGGUGGGUGUUUUGGUGUGCACCUGUAGUCCCAGCUGCUCAGGAGGGUGAGGCAAGCGGAUUACUUGAGCUCGGGAGGUCGAGGCUGCAGCGAGCCGUGAUUAUACACCACUGCACUCCAGCAGCCUGGGCGAUAGAGUGAGACCCUGUCUAAAACAGACAGAAAAAAGGAAUCCAGUACUAUUUAUUACACGUAGUAUAUGUUCAAUCAGUAUUAAUAAUUGCAUUAUUAUGAUUGAAUAGACGUGACCUCAUUUUCUGUUGUCCACUCUAAUGGGAUGCUCUAUCCUUGAACUCCUCCCAAGAGAAGACAGAAUCCUAAAUUGUCCCUUUAAUGAAUUACUGCUUUACUAAUACCUAGAAUGAAGCAGUUGAAGGUGUCACUAAAAACUGGCAAAAUCUGGAGACUCUAG